AUGGAUGUUUUGGGAUCCCAGCUUUGUAAGCAAAACCAUCCAACUGAAACAAAUAUGUGCCUGGACAGGUUCUUCAUCGUACCCUGGAGCCACCUGAACUUAUGGCGAUUCCCAAGGAUUCAUACAGUGAUGCCAACGGUAGGGCUCUUUUCCAGAAGACAUACAAGGGCUCAUGCUGAAGGCUGCACAGUGUUUAGACUUCCUACUCAACCUGACUGCAAGAUAAGAAAGAAGGAAGGAAGCAGAAAUGAUACAGGAGCACGUCUUCAUCUAGAUAAAUUCUCCUGACACCAGUGUGCUGCCUGCAUUCAGGAGGCUGGAAUUUUAUUUUUGGUUAAACAUAAUGAAACUUAGAAUGAUGAAGAGUGAAGAGAGUUAACUGCACAUGGUCUGCUUAUAUUUUGUUGCUUUCCUGUGAACAGCACCCUGCUUAAAUUAACUUAUAUUUUUUAAUUAACACUUUUCUUUCCUAUUUUGUUAGGAAAUUGCUCAGCUUUUACUAGCUGAAAGGUGACUAAUGUCUUUCUGUCCCGAUAUUUCUUCACCAUUGCAGUUCCCUGGAUCCAAUAACAAAAAAUGGUCAGUUGUUUUGCUCUGAAUUUUGUAAAUUCAUUACUUUUUCAAUGUAACUAUCCAAAUGUCUUAAUAGCAUGAAAUCCUUUAUAGAUUUCAGUAAAUACUUUAUGCUGAAAGUGAGUCUUCUACCUUUAUUUGCAUAGAAUGAUGUUGUAACCAUAAGUAAACCAAUAGCAGUAGGCUGCAGUAUGCUAAUGCUUGGCAUGAAAAAAGGUGCAAAAAGCAGGAUGAAUGUGAUUGUAUUUAUUCAGUUACCAUUUUCUUCCUAUGUUCACCUUUAUUGUUUUAGAACCUUUUCCUUCCCUAGCUCUUUCAGCCUUUUCAGUUUAUGAAGUAUGUUUAUCUCCUGGCAAAAAUGUGGAGAGGAAAUCAAAAUGAAUGCCAAGUUUAAAACAAUAUUUUUGGGGAAAAGUUCUUUGAGCUAGCAGACCAGUAGCUGUGAAAGACAGCCCUGAAUAGUUGUAAAACCACACCACACCACUGCAUAUCCAGUUCUUUGGAUGCUUUGAUCAAAAGGAAAAAAUCCUCAUAGAAUAUUUUCUUUUUGAAAAAUAAAUGGAUGAUCAUUAACUGAAGAACA
rnacentral:lncRNA from 1 species